UGCGUAGGUGGCGCCAUAAGUCGGGUGUGAAAUUUCGGAGCUCAACUCCGAAACUGCAUUCGAUACUGUGGUGCUUGAGGACUGGAGAGGAGACUGGAAUUCACGGUGUAGCAGUGAAAUGCGUAGAGAUCGUGAGGAAGACCAGUGGCGAAGGCGGGUCUCUGGACAGUUCCUGACACUGAGGCACAAGGGCUAGGGGAGGCAAACG
rnacentral:rRNA from 1 species